GCCACUCUCUCACCAAACUGCUCCAACUGCUGGGGCACUAACCUUGUUCCUUAGAACUAGUUCCCCACUCAGCAGUUCCAGAAGUACAAAGUGGGUUCUGUAGUUCUGUGAAUUCCCUGCACAACUUUUCACUGUCUUCCCCACUCCCACCAUCUUGCAGGUUCACAGUUUAGAGCCUGGGUUUGAAACCCCAGUCUGCCACUCUUUUAUGCGCGGCCUUGGGCAUGACUCUGAGCCCGUUUCCUCCGGAUGAUGUGAACAGUGAUUAGAUACCGUGGACGAAUCACUCAUUUUGUCCAUUGUUUGAACUUUUCCUCUUCUACCUGUUCCUCUAAAUUAGCCUUGAAGCUAAAAGGUGCUUUUUGUCCCUUCUUAGGAAUCUUUGUAGUUAAUACCACUGUAUACAGUCAGACCACAAUUUUGUUUCAUGAAAAAGGCUGGAAGUAAACAUAAUGAAAGGUUAAAGAUGCUUGGGGAUGCUAAGAAUCAUUUUCUACCU
rnacentral:lncRNA from 1 species